GGAUGGUGCAAACGUUGUUCGGAAUUACUGGGGCGUAAAGCGCAUGUAGGCGGAUACGUAGGUCAGAUGUGAAAGCCCUUGGGCUCAACCAAGGGAAGUGCAUCUGAAACCACAUAUCUUGAGUAUGACAGAGGGAAGUGGAAUUCCCAGUGUAGAGGUGAAAUUCAUAGAUAUUGGGAAGAACACCGGUGGCGAAGGCGGCUUUCUGGGUCAUUACUGACGCUGAGAUGCGAAAGCGUGGGGAGCAAACAGGAUUAGAUACCCUGGUAGUCCACGCCGUAAACGAUGUGCACUAGGUGUUGGGAGUAAUUAAACUCACAGUGCCGAAGCUAACGCAUUAAGUGCACCGCCUGGGGAUUACGGUCGCAAAGACUA
rnacentral:rRNA from 1 species